GACGAACGCUGGCGGCGUGCUUAGCACAUGCAAGUCGAACGGAAAGGCCCUGCUUUUGUGGGGUGCUCGAGUGGCGAACGGGUGAGUAACACGUGAGUAACCUGCCCUUGACUUUGGGAUAACUUCAGGAAACUGGGGCUAAUACCGGAUAGGAGCUCCUGCUGCAUGGUGGGGGUUGGAAAGUUUCGGCGGUUGGGGAUGGACUCGCGGCUUAUCAGCUUGUUGGUGGGGUAGUGGCUUACCAAGGCUUUGACGGGUAGCCGGCCUGAGAGGGUGACCGGCCACAUUGGGACUGAGAUACGGCCCAGACUCCUACGGGAGGCAGCAGUGGGGAAUAGUGCACAAUGGGCGGAAGCCUGAUGCGGCAACGCCGCGUGCGGGAUGACGGCCUUCGGGUUGUAAACCGCUUUCGCCUGUGACGAAGCGUGAGUGACGGUAAUGGGUAAAGAAGCACCGGCUAACUACGUG
rnacentral:rRNA from 1 species